UUUUAGGGCUGCUCCUGCAGCAUAUGGAGGUUCCCAGACUAGGGGUGUAAUCAAAGCUACAGCUGCCAGCCCAUACCACAGCCACAGCCACAGCAACAUGGGAUCUGAGCCGUGUCUGUGACCUACACCACAGUUCACGGCAACACCGGAUCCUUAACCCACUGAGUGAGGCCAGGGAUCAAACACGCAACCUCAUGCUAGGACAUGCAGUGCCAGAAUUCAAGGCGAGAUCUGUGCAACUCUGGAGUCACGUGUUCUUUCCACUAUGACACAUGGACUCACACCUCAGAAGAUGUCCAAAGUUACUCUCUUUUACUUGUGAAAAUAAGCCUCUAAAGAACAACUUUCUAAUAUUAAUAUAAUAAUUACUACUACAUUGGAAAGUAGUGCCUUUACAUAGCAAUAGGCAUGAUGUUUUCAUAAAAGAACAUUUCUUGCACCUCUGUUGCUCUUUUGCCAGCAUCUCAUCCAGUUUGAGAAUUUGAUAAUAGCUAGUAAUAAUAAUAAUGAAAUAUAAUAACAAGAAUUUAAUAGGCACCUACCGUGUGCUAGAUCUUGUGCUUGGUGAUACCUGGGCACAGUCUUAUUUAAUCUGUAAAUAAAUAAGAGUCCUGUGAAGUAGACAUGACUCUCCCCACUUGAGAGACCAUAUGGAAGGUUGAGAGAUGAAGCAACCUGACCAAGGUUACACUGGGUAAGUGGCAAAGCAGAGAUUCAAACUCCAAUGUGGUACAUGCACAAGGCCACCGCACACCCGCCCAUGAAUUCCAGGAGCCAGAAUUAGCUUUGCUGUAGGGAGAAGAAACAAAGGGAAAACAAUUUGUCCAAGGUAAUGUGGCUAGUGAGAAGCAGAGCCAGUCAGAGAAACAGAAAUCCCCAGCUCCUCAUUCACUUCCUGACCUCAGGAACUUUGUUUGGGCCAAGAGGAUAAAUGUGUGAUAAUUGAGAAAAAUUACUUAAUUUGGUCCUGAAUGGCCCAGGCCAACUGUACUCAAGGAAUAAAAGGGCAGCCUGCAGUUUACGACUCCCUUGUUAGGCUUACUGGACUUGCAAAACCCUUCUUGCAGUACAUGUGGCAGUCCCAACCUGGAUCAUAAUUUACCACUUCACUAAAGUUCCCAGUGAAGAGCUGCCAACUACAGUAAAUUGACUAUAGUUCCUUCUUUGAUUCUCUUUCACCAGGCAUCUUGCACACAAAACACUCUCACAAAAUCCAACGAGGUUCAGCAUUGACCAGACGCAAUAGCCCAGGGGAGAAAACAUCUCCAAGAAUCUUCUAGCACCUGCUUCACCUCAUUACCAAGAGCUGGCUCAGUCACCAAAGGGGUUCAGCAUGCCAUAGAUAAGACAUUUAGGAUCUGCUUCUAUCCACUCCUAUCCCUACACAAGAAAAUGAUCACAAGGAAAUGAAAAAAAUAGGACAGCAAUCAAUAUUUGAAGGAAAACUAAAAUUAUUCUGUCUUGAAAGUCAAUAGGAGAUAAGUCUCAGACAAAAAAAAAAAUCCAAUAGUCUGAUAAAAUGAAAAAAUGCAGUGGACAGUAAUAAAAAUGGCACUUUGCACAUUUUGACUAUGCCUACUCAGAGAAGAGAAUUAGGUUUACAUGUGCCAUACCACCUUGUGUGAAUAUUACAGGCAAAAAAAAGCAAAAAUGCUACAUCAGAACCAUUUUCAUCCUUUCCGGUAAACCCAACCUUCUUUAUAAGGAGUGGCUGAGGGAGAGGAAAAUUCAGACACUAUUGUCUGUCUGAGUGAGGGCUGCAGGGCAAAUGCAGAGGACAAGGAAAGACCUAUGGAGAGUGCUACUGAUGGGAGUUCACGGGAUGACCUCUACCUCGAGUAUUAUUCUACAUGUGCUCAGCAAGAGGCCAGUUACCAAGCAUGUAGUGUGGGUGAAGAAGAUGAAUUAACCCAAUUCUAAACUGGUUGGAGACCCAUAAAGCUUAGGAAUAUAACAUAUGCAAAUAGUCAUCAUCAACUUUUCUGAACUGGUGCAACCUUUAUUGAUUGUAUAAGAAAACAGCAGCCCAUGGAAAUUAGGAGAACUGCCUCAAAGCAUCAUGAUACAUCUAGAACAUAAAACAUAUAAAAAACAAUGUAAUGCAGCAUAACCACAAGCAUCAACUACACCAUUACAACCUGGGUUUAUGGGUACUAAAAGAAAUGAGUUUAAAGGUCAAAUGUCACCCAAAUCAAUGGAUGUUCUCCUACUGCAAUGACUACCCAUGGCAUCAACUUGCUUAUCUAAGUACAGCAUGAUGGUUAACAGCCUAGGCUCAGACUUGUUCAAAGCCCAGUGAAGUCGUGGCCUAGCUAUGUGGAUCUUGGGUAAAUUACUUCAGCAACUUUUGCCUAUGUUUUCUUAUCUAUAAAAUGGGAAAAUGAACAGUGCCUAAUGCAUAUGGGGUUUGUAACUAUUAAGCGAUUAUACCCAAGGACUUGAAAAAGAGCUUAACACAGAGUAAGUGCCAGUCACUGCUACCUAUAAUAAUAAUGAUCAUUAUUAAUAAUGGCCAAUAGUAAUUAUUCUUAUCAGUAUUGAUAAUUAUAACUCUCCAGAAUAGAACUGCCCACCCAUCCCAGACUGCCUACUUUUACUCUGAACUAUUACAAAAAAGAGAAUUUGCGGUCUUAUUUGAGUCACUAAAUAGUGGGAUUUCUAUGAUAUAUUAAUUUAGGUUUUAACCCAAAAUAUGUUUACUACCUUGUACAAUAAUCAUCCUUUUAUAUAUGUGUUUAUCCUAUCAGAUUUUGCACUUCCUGAAGCAAUGAGCUCAGCCAUUUUUAGAUGGAAAAGAGUCAAUAAGUGUUUGACAAACUUAACUUGGUAUCAAAAGUAAUGUCUGUGGAUACAAAAGUCCAGAAAAUUCUUUAUGGAGUUCCCAUAUGACUCAGUGGGUUAAGGAUAUCCGGAGGAUGUGGGUUCGAUCCCUGGCUUCACUCAGUGGGUUAAGGAUCCAACAUUGCCAUGAGCUGCAGCAUAGUCACAGAGGCAGCUCGGAUCUGGCGUUGCUAUGGCUGUGGUGUAGGCCAGCAGGGGCAAUUCCAAAUUGACCCCUAGCCUGGGAACUUCUAUAUGCCGCAGGUAUGGCCCUAAAAAGAAAAUAAAUAAAUAAAUAAAAAUUUAAAAAUAGAAAAUUCUCUGAUUAUGAUUUAGCUCUCCUGAUCUUACAAGUAAAUGUAUUAUUUGUUGUGUUAGUUGCAGUAGAUGACACUGAUAAAACAAAUAGGUCCACUAUGUAUUGUGUCAAACACAAUACAAUUUCAUGUUAAUGAUUCUGGCAAAUGUUCCCAUUUGAAAGAGGGGUUCUUCUCUAGACAAUUGUUUAGGAUCAUGGGUUGACAGCAGUUCUUACAAUAUCCGUCAAUGGCUUCCAAAGUCGCCCUGGGUGUGGCCAAUCCAGCUGCCUAAAAGGGGAUAUUUGGAAAAGCACUCAUUGGGGGUUUCAUAGAGCAAGCCUAGAAGUGGCAUAUGUUUUUCCACUCACAUUCCAUGAGACAGAACUCUAUCAAACGAUACAUCCAACUGCACAAGAGGCUGGGAGAUGUAGGAAGGGGAAGUGGAUUUUAGUGAAGAGCUAGCAAUCUCUGCCAGUGGCUGAAAUUAAUUUCACCCACUUUAUUCAAAGGAACCACUACUUAAAAAUACUUGAUGAGUAUUGAGAAAACUAAAUAUUCUUUUGAGAAUAGUUUUUAUUUACUAAAGUUCUGUAGUCAAGAUAUAACUUCUUCCUUAAACUAGCAGGAAAUAAGUUUUGAGAUUAAGUAUUCAUCUGCAAAACUCUCUGUUUCCUUGGCUUAAUUAAAAUACCUUUUACUCUCUCUGCGUGAAUAAAUAUAAGGGGUGAUCAAAAGGAAAAAUAUCACAUUAGUCUGGAUCUAACCACUGCCACCUCACCCUUCAAGGCUUGGUAGACAAUUCCAGCCCACAUUUGCCACUUUCUUUUCUGUGUCCUGUAGCUCUCACAAGUUUCCAUCCAGAAGAAAAAUAGAUGGUCUUGAAAUGUUUUCUGCUUUAAUAUAUGAGCCUUAUUUGCUUAACCACAUUGCCAGAUCCUCAAGGGUAUCUUUUAUUUUAUGUUUCUCUGGAAAGUGAAAAUGAUUUUGUAAAAUACAAAGUGCCUUCCAUAAAGUCAAGCGUUUUUCUUUCUUUUGUAUUUCUUUCAGUGCCUAAGCACAGUGGUAGGUAUUCAAAUAACCAAUUAGAUCACUUACCGGUUUAACAGAAAGUUAGAGCUCAAAGGGGCCUGUAAGUCAAUUAAUUUCAAAACAGGCUGUAAUUUUUCACUCCUCCCUGUUUCUAUGAUUUUUCAAUAAGACGGUGGAGCCUAUUUCCCCAUCUCUUGGUUCUGGGCUAGCCUUGAGAUUUGCUUUGGCCAACAGAAUGUGGUAGGAUGAACAGGCUUUAAGAGGCUUUGUACAUCCCAAGGUUCCAUGCUUUUGGGACACAAGCUUUGGCUAAGAGAAGAAGCCCAGGCUAGCCUGCUGGAUGACAAGUACAUGACAUUCUCUUAUUGCCCAGCUAACAGCCAUGGGAAAGACCAUUCCAGAGGGGCUAGCCCACGGCAGAAGCAGCGGCAACACCAGCCAGGAUCAGGUGAGUCUGGCCCAUGUUAGCAGGACUACCUCGAUGACCCAAAUCUGCCUCUGGAGCAAUAAUAUAUGCUUACUGUUUUGAGACACUGAUGUUUGAGGGUGGUCUGUUACACGACCAUAACUACCUAACAUAGACCCUUCACUGUUUUCUACCCUAGCCCUUCCUUUUGCAGAUAAGUAAACAGAGUCUCAAGCAGGAAAGGACUAUAAGUGGACACUAAUAAAGCUUGGGUUACAACUCAGGUCUUAUAAUUUAGCAGCUUGAUAUGCUUUCUAUUGAAAACAUUUUGUUUUACUUCCAAGAUCUUUGAAAUGUCUCAAGUCAACAUAACUAUUAGGGUCCAAUAAGAGCUGGACACUGAGAAAUGCCCUGUGUAGGAUUGUUGGAGCUUUUCAUAAGAUGAGAUUGCUUGAAACACAAUGAAAAAAUACUAUAAAAAGAAAGGCAAGGUGUCCUACUAUAUGCCAGAGACAUUGAUGAAAGUAUUUUAUAAACUUCUAUUUUGUCAAAAGAAAGGAUACUGGGUCAGCUUCCUGAUACCUUUAGCUCAGAAAGCUCUGAUUUUCACCAGGACAUUAACCAUUCUUCAAAAAACAAGGAGGUCAGGGGCAGGAUUCCGGCAUGAUUAAUGUCCAUCAAUGUUUAGAGCAUCAUAAGGAUUACUUCGGAAUUUGUCUUUUCCUGGAAGAGCAGAAACCUUGACCUUUUCUCUUUCGUGUAUUCCCAUCGCUUGGUAUUGGAAAUGAAUGAAUGAAUGAAUGAAUGAAUCAUAAGCAGAGUCUGAUCCUCAGGAAAACUUUAGGAAAAGGUUCCAGAAGAUAGAAGUUUUGUGAAAGAACUUUAGACUGGUUUUAGGCUGAUGAAUCAGGAAAAUCAGAUGUUACUUUUAAAAAGACCUACAUUAAAAGGGAGGACAAAAAGGAAUGAGGAAAAUAUAAAGCUUUUAAAACAAAAAAGGCAUUAACUAUGUUGUGCCUAUGUUUAUAUACAACUUCACUAAACUAUUUGACUUCCCGUAAUAAAAACUGAGAUUUUCAAUAGCCUUUAGAUUCCUUCUGUAGAAAACUUGUUAUAUAGUAAUAACUUACAUUUAUUAAGGCAUUAUCUCAGGUAAGGUUUUCUUCCCUUUAGAACCAUUUUAGUGUUUUACACAGGUACUAAAUUCACACUAGCAUUUUAAUAAAAGCAAAACCUUUCUAAAUCUCUUCCGACAACUUUCUUAACAUUUCAUGAAAAUUUUAAAGGAUUAGUUGUAUUAAUUGGUCAUAAAUGCAGCUUUUGUUCCUUAUGCUUUAUUCUUUAAUCUGCACUUCAUUCAGAAUUUUUAUUACUCUAAAGCAUUAUGACUAUACAGCAGAAAUUAGCACAAUAUUAAAUCAACUAUACUUUAAUAAAAAGUAAGAUUAAAAAUGUAAAAAGUAGGAGUUCCCGUCGUGGCACAGUGGUUAAAGAAUCCGACUAGGAACCAUGAGGUUGCGGGUUCGGUCCCUGCCCUUGCUCAGUGGGUUAACGAUCCGGCAUUGCCGUGAGCUGUGGUGUAGGUUGCAGACGCGGCUCGGAUCCCGCGUUGCUGUGGCUCUGGCGUAGGCCGGUGGCUACAGCUCCGAUUCAACCCCUAGCC
rnacentral:lncRNA from 1 species